GUACACAAAAAUGCACAUGCUGUGAGCUCGAUGAGUAGGGCGGGACACGUGGUAUCCUGUCUGAAUAUGGGGGGACCAUCCUCCAAGGCUAAAUACUCCUGACUGACCGAUAGUGAACCAGUACCGUGAGGGAAAGGCGAAAAGAACCCCGGCGAGGGGAGUGAAAAAGAACCUGAAACCGUGUACGUACAAGCAGUGGGAGCACGCUUAGGCGUGUGACUGCGUACCUUUUGUAUAAUGGGUCAGCGACUUAUAUUCUGUAGCAAGGUUAACCGAAUAGGGGAGCCGAAGGGAAACCGAGUCUUAACUGGGCGUUAAGUUGCAGGGUAUAGACCCGAAACCCGGUGAUCUAGCCAUGGGCAGGUUGAAGGUUGGGUAACACUAACUGGAGGACCGAACCGACUAAUGUUGAAAAAUUAGCGGAUGACUUGUGGCUGGGGGUGAAAGGCCAAUCAAACCGGGAGAUAGCUGGUUCUCCCCGAAAGCUAUUUAGGUAGCGCCUCGUGAAUUCAUCUCCGGGGGUAGAGCACUGUUUCGGCAAGGGGGUCAUCCCGACUUACCAACCCGAUGCAAACUGCGAAUACCGGAGAAUGUUAUCACGGGAGACACACGGCGGGUGCUAACGUCCGUCGUGAAGAGGGAAACAACCCAGACCGCCAGCUAAGGUCCCAAAGUCAUGGUUAAGUGGGAAACGAUGUGGGAAGGCCCAGACAGCCAGGAUGUUGGCUUAGAAGCAGCCAUCAUUUAAAGAAAGCGUAAUAGCUCACUGGUCGAGUCGGCCUGCGCGGAAGAUGUAACGGGGCUAAACCAUGCACCGAAGCUGCGGCAGCGACGCUUAUGCGUUGUUGGGUAGGGGAGCGUUCUGUAAGCCUGUGAAGGUGUACUGUGAGGUAUGCUGGAGGUAUCAGAAGUGCGAAUGCUGACAUAAGUAACGAUAAAGCGGGUGAAAAGCCCGCUCGCCGGAAGACCAAGGGUUCCUGUCCAACGUUAAUCGGGGCAGGGUGAGUCGACCCCUAAGGCGAGGCCGAAAGGCGUAGUCGAUGGGAAACAG
rnacentral:rRNA from 1 species